GGUUGACCCGCCGGACGUUGUUUGGCAAGUAGUUAGGGGUCUAUUGAGUGCGCAAAUGCCGUAGGGGAAAUGAAUUACAAAGUUAGAAAGAAGUUUGACAUUUUCAACGAAUAAAAGAUCUUCAUAUAAUUUCGUAAGUUGUUGAGCGUCUGCAAUGUCGGCAACCCAAAUAUUAUUUUGAUAGACGGUUAAAUCAAAGGUUCCGUCAUGGUCAAAAUACAGGAUUCCGUUUUGCAAAUCCUCGUGUAAAGGAUUGGUGGUUAGUUGGAUAUUGACCUUGCUAACGUUGCAAUCCUCCACUGUAAUAAUACCCGAAAAAGUUUUUUUGUAAUUGGUAAAGAACUGAUUGACAGCGACAAACAAUAAAAUAAAUCCCUCAGUCCUUUGGGGAACUGAGGGGAUGGUUAAUAAUUGCGUGUCGUUGCGAAGGUACAGCAUUGAUUACGUUACGAUUACCGUGAGGGGCUUCACAACAUUGUUAUCGAGAUAGUCGGUAAAGGUGAGGUUCAGGUUAUAGGUUGCAGGCGCAACGCCGACCGUGUCCACUGUUAAAGUGGCGGUUGUACCGGGGUUUACGAUUGUA
rnacentral:rRNA from 1 species